rnacentral:miRNA from 1 species
UUCGUAGAUAUUGUAGUUACUGG